UCCCAACUUACUCUGCAGCCAGGAUGGGCUCAGCCCUCCCCAUGCUGACAUCCCCUGGGGUCUGUCCUAAGGGUUUGGACCUGGUCAGGCCCCUCUGUGUAGAGGAAGGAUGGACAGUGGCCAGAGAGUCCGUCUGGGGGGGACGUUGCUCACACCUGAGAGGGCAGAUACAGCAAGAAAGCAGGCAUCUGCAAGAAAGCCCUCACCAGGACUAAAUCAGCUGACACCUCCAUCUUGGACUUCCCAGCUUCCAGAACUGUGAGAUAUAGAUUUCUAUUGCUUAAGUCACCAAGGCUAUGGUGUUUUUAAUAGCAGCCCAAGCCCAGGAAUACAUCAUCUGACUCACUGCUUUGAAUGAAGCUCUUCAGUUUCUCCAUCAACUUAGCUGGCAGCUCCUGUCCUCAGCAGCAUCAGAAGCCCCAACAAAAGAGCUCCAGGAGGGGCUCAACCUGCACGGGGGGCAGCCUCAAUGUCAGGUCCUGGAUGGCAGGGGCAGUCUGAUGGAAUGGGCGCUGUCCAGGUUCCUGCCCUCUCUGGAAGCUUGAUAAUGAGGAACCCUGAUGUGUCACUACGGAGGAGGCUGUGGGAAAAAGCUGUUUCUCAGGGCUGCCUGG